rnacentral:tRNA from 1 species
GGGCCAGGGUGUUCCUAUCUUCAACUUCUAAUUGAGGGAUAAAGUGGUUAAAUUCUAUUUAUGCCCCG